rnacentral:rRNA from 1 species
CCUGUCACACCAUGGGAGUUGAUUGCACCAGAAGCAGGUAGCCUGACCGCAAGGAGGGCGCCUACCACGGUGUGGUCAAUGACUGGGGUG